GAUGAAGAACGCAGCGAAAUGCGAUAAGUAAUGUGAAUUGCAGAAUUCAGUGAAUCAUCGAAUCUUUGAACGCACAUUGCGCCCAUUAGUAUUCUAGUGGGCAUGCCUGUUCGAGCGUCAUUUCAACCCUUAAGCCUAGCUUAGUGUUGGGAGACUGCCUAAUACGCAGCUCCUCAAAACCAGUGGCGGAGUCUGUUCGUGCUCUGAGCGUAGUAAUUCUUUAUCUCGCUUCUGUAAGCCGAUCAGACAACAGCCAUAAACCGCACCCUUCGGGGGCACUUUUUUAAUGGUUGACCUCGGAUCAGGUAGGAAUACCCGCUGAACUUAAGCAUAUCAAUAAGCGGAGGA
rnacentral:misc_RNA from 1 species